AUACUUACCUGGCGUAGGGGAUACCGUGAUCACUAAGGCGGUUCCCCCAGAGCGAGAUUCAUCCAUUGCACUGCGGAUGAGUUGACCUCUGCGAUUAUCCCUAAUGUGGAUAGCCAGUCGCUCGCUCGAC